rnacentral:lncRNA from 1 species
CUUGCUGUUUUCCUUUUCUUUUUCUGCUUCUUUGAUGUGCUCUGUCCAUCGGUUUGUGCUUUCCUCUGCCUAAACUGGGCAAGCUUGGCUUUGCCAGCCUCCAGCUUCUUCAGCCGCUCCUCGUCCUCCAUGGCGUCCGUGCGGGGAGAACAGAGCGUUAUGGGCGGCGGCAGGCGGGCACACCCCCCUCAGCCGAGACACAAGCAGCUCGCUGUACUGUCCUGUCCCGUCUCACAGCGACGACAGCUGCCGUGGCGGGGACGCCGGCGCCGCCAUCUUCAUCUCCACGUAAACACGCGGCCGGGGAAAGUGACGUGGCUGCCUGCUCCUCCUCCCGCCGCCAUCCCUCCCCUUUCCGCCCAGCCCCAGCCGCAGCGCCCCCGGCCCGGCCCGGCCCGUGUUCAGCCCAGUCCCGCCGAGGUGCCCCCGGGGCGGCGGUGCUGCACCGCCGGAUCCCACAGUUCCGAGCCCGGCCGCGGGCGCCGCCGAGGGCGAGCGGCGAGGGCAGCGGCGCGGCACACCCCCUCCACCCCCCUGCUCGGGGCGGGGGGCUGCCUCUCGCACAAAGGACUGGUGUUGGGAAGAGUCUGCUGCUUGGCGUGCCUUUAAUGUCUGAAGUAACGCUGCCCGCGCUCUGCAGCGCUGCUGCCUUCUGCCGUCUCGCAGGUCCGCCCUCUGUGACUGCAGUGCUCAUUUUGGCAGUUUUAAUUCUCUUAAGUGUUUUCUUGUUCCUACAUGUGGCUCAGCUUCACGUUGCGUGGGUCUGAACCGUGGAGAGAUAGGAACGAGCUUUGUGUCAUACUGCACAAAGCUGACAACAAAGGAUGUGCGGUCCCCCUGCCUGAAUCACCGAAUACAGGCUCAUCGUGUCACAGAACCUGAAACAGCUGUGUUAAAAUCACAAUGGGGAAUUUGACACACGGCUAUUAAAUGCUAAUAGGAUUUCUAUACCCCAUCAUUCGAUACAAAGCCGUAUUCUUUAUAUUGCUUAAUUAUUGCUUAAUACUGUCUCCUAAAUGUGCGACUUGCAUAGCUAAUAGCAAAUUUGCGUUGCGUGUUUGCUAUGUGCUUUUUCUUUCGGUUGCUCAUGAAGUCAGUUCCAUUUCUGGUGCUGUGAUGAAUGGCUCUGUGUCACACAUUCCUGCAGAGCCUUUUUUGGUUGGUGUGUAACAGCUGCAUGGGAGCAAACAGAUACUUCCUUCUGCAUUUAGAAUAAUUCUGCUCCAAUAGAUGCAAAACCCAAAAUCUUUCUGAAUGUACUUAGCUCUCAGCCUUGCUAAUCUUUUUAAUGCAAUUCACAUUUUCCACUGAUUUUUUUCUUUAAGUGUAAAAUGUAUGUGCUCAUUAAGCACACAUCUUUCCUUACCUGAAUUUUUCCAGCAGAGACCAGAUGCACUCCAAGAAAUGCCAAAAGAAUAUAUUAUUUGCACAGUUUUACUAAUCAAGACCAAGACAAGAAAAAUAAGUGGACUCUGAGCAGCAGACUUCCAUGCCUGUAUCACUGCCCAAGUAAACUGAACCCACAAUCAGAGAUUUUUUCGUAUUUCCCACUCCUCCUAAAAGAUAUAACAUUUCACAGAAAAGCCUGAAGUCAUCUGUUGAUAGAUCAGUACAUACAUUGUGCAUUUCUGUGUUUUGAAGUGAUAUCCUUAAUCUUCAUUUGAAAAGGAACUGAAAAAUAUUAAUGUCAAAAGAGAAAAUCACCAUCCUUGGCAGAGAAUUACAAAUGUCUUCAUUACAGUUUGUUUUCUGUUUAAAACAAACGUGUUUCUGUUCAGGUUCUCAGACCUUGCUAUUUCACUGCAGGAAAAGCACGUUAUAGAGAAAAACAGCAAGUGAAACUGAAAUUAAGAACUGGUUAAGAUGGAAAUAUUUUCAUUGAAAUACAAAUGUAUUUGAAUUCCUCCCUUAAAUUUGUGUUCCCAGUUCGGUAAAACCAAGCACGUUAUUCAAGGCCUUUGCAAAUGUAAGUGGUUCCUCUUCCCAGGAAUUCCAAAGGCCCCUGAGGGAAAAAUAAAUGAGCUGUUCUGUGCAGAUGACAUUCCUUUGGGCUGAUGGAGGCCGCUGUCAGAGAUCUAGCUGUUAGGUGUCAGUAAAAUUUCACACAUGCAUGACACUAUGCUAGUGAUUUCUUAAUCAGUAAACACCCCAUUUAGAAGAUAAUUACAAACUCCCCAAAUCCCAUAAUUAAAUGGGUUCUUGACUUAAUGCUAAGAAUUGAUGGGCCUAAUUUUCAUUUCACUUACAGGCUUUAUAUCCAUGUAAUUUUAAUGGAUUUUAGUUAAAC